CCCUUAGAUGUUCUGGGCCGCACGCGCGCUACACUGAUGCAUUCAACGAGUCUAAAACCUGCUCUGAUAGGGGUGGGUAAUCUUUUGAAUGUGCAUCGUGAUUGGGAUAGAUGAUUGCAAUUUUUCAUCUUCAACGAGGAAUGCCUAGUAAACGCAAGUCAUCAGCUUGCAUUGAUUACGUCCCUGCCCUUUGUACACACCGCCCGUCGCUCCUACCGAUUGAAUGAUCCGAUGAAUAUCAUGGAUUGAGGAUGCAAGUAGGUUCGCCUAUCUUCAUCUUCGAGAAGUGAAGUAAUUCUUAUCAUUUAGAGGAAGGAGAAGUCGUAACA
rnacentral:rRNA from 1 species